UCCGGCUUGUCACCGGCGGUCCCCCUAGAGUGCCCGGCCCGACCCGCUGGCAACUAGGGGCAAGGGUUGCGCUCGUUGCGGGACUUAACCCAACAUCUCACGACACUAGCUGACGACAGCCAUGCAGCACCUGUGCGCGCCCCCCGAAGGGAAGCCCGGGUCUCCCCGGGCGGCGGCGCGCAUGUCAAGGGCUGGUAAGGUUCUGCGCGUUGCGUCGAAUUAAACCACAUGCUCCACCGCUUGUGCGGGCCCCCGUCAAUUCCUUUGAGUUUUAACCUUGCGGCCGUACUCCCCAGGCGGUGCGCUUACCGCGUUAGCUCCGGCACCGAGGGGCGAGCCCCCCGACGCCCAGCGCACAUCGUUUAGGGCGUGGACUAC
rnacentral:misc_RNA from 1 species